rnacentral:lncRNA from 1 species
CCUGUUCUAACUGGCCAGCCGCCAUCUUGCAACAUGGAGGAUAGAUUGCAAGUGGAGCCAAGAACAAAAUACAGCUGACUCUGAACAAAUCCUUUUCGUGACUUCUGGAUAAAGGACAACUCAAGCCCCUCGUUCCAGUGGCAGUGGAUUGAUGUGCAGCUUCCUAUGUGAAGGCAGAGCACACGUCUGUCUCUGGAGCUUCCUAGAAUUUCUAACUUGGAAUCACUAAGGACAAAAACUCCUAUAUUCCUGAAGCCCUACAAGCUGGAACUGGACAACUCGAUGUAAAUUUCAGGAGACAACCCCCAUGCCUGAUGUGUGGGCCACUAAGGGAGUUUACCAAAACAUCCAAUGCCAUAACCAGAGACAUUCAAACUAAACCAAGAAAAUGUUUCAAGCUCAAAUCCAGAAAUCUUGUCAACUAACUGCCCUCUGAACUCAGAGACUGAGUUUAUAAUUUGUCCUAAGCCAUUAACCUUUGUUAAUAGCUUUUUUUUGUUUUGUUUAUUUUUUCUGGUUUGGUUCAUGAGGGCAUUUGUUAAGAAGCAUACUCUAAUCCCUUGGUAUAUCCUCCUGAUAGUUCCCAUUGUAAUCUCCCAGCUGCAUUCUCUCAAGGGUUUUGAAGGUGUAUUUGCAGCGAUUAGUGGUAUACUAGGUGGCCUCACUGUGAUUACUGCAACAACUGCAAGAUGACCAAAGGAAUGUGUCUUCCACAAGGCUGACAUUGUGACUUAUGAGUUUCAUGCUAAGACAAAGACAACCCUGCCAUGAUGAUGACUGACAGUAGUGCUGAUGCCAUAAAUUUUUAUCAAAUCCCUCAGUACAGGUUGAGUCUGAUCAAAAGGGGAAAGCUGUUCAGUAAAAUAUGUGGGAGGUCAUUGUUUUGGAUUAAGCUCCUGCACUAGGCCCCAACAGACCAGAUCAAACCAGAAUGGAGUCACUCAUGCCAGAUGCCACAUUGUCAAACUGAAUGUAAAAAUAGGUCACUUGUUCAAAAAAAAAAGGAGAUUCACAGUAACCAAUUGAAAGGGGCCCAGUCAACCUAAGCUCACAUGAUAAGGAAGUCUCCUCUAGUUUAACGUAUGCAAGGAAAGUAGCUUUGAAAUCACCAGUCCACUUUUUGUUUCUUCUUUCUGCUUUCUUCAGUCUUUUCCAUUAUAAAGCCCACACAUCUGCUCAGCUCAGUAGGGCACCUUUCUAUUUCAUAGAUGGAAUGUCACUUGAUUCAUGAAUCAUUAAUAAAAGCCAAUUUGAUGUUUAAAA